rnacentral:lncRNA from 1 species
UCCAACCCUUAGUUAGAAGAUGAGGGUAAGAGUCACUGAAGGUAAAUAACUUUCAAGGGCUUCAGAGGUCAUUUAGUCCGGCCAAUAACUGGGAGAGGACCAAAGAACUUAAUUUUAAAGCCUGGAUCUGAAAUUUUUCAACUUCUUUUGUUAUGAAGUGAUUUCCAGCAGGAGUGAUGCAAAAGCUGAAAGGCUUCAUACUACAGGAAGAGGAUAUGGUUAAAGGCACCAGGAUGUCUACAAAACAGAUUUAUUUCCAUCUCAGCAGGAGGCAGCCAUGUUUCUCUAAGUGUUGAUUAAACUGUUCCUCCAUGGUGGC